AGUUCUUGAGCUGCAGCACAGGUUAUAGAAACCUGAUGCCUUGAUUCUAUUGCAUGGAAAGGCAUAACAAAGAAAACUGACUCCAAUGCCAAAACUGACUGCGAUUCCCGAAGCCGUGGUUUAAAUUAGGUUGAAGAAAACAUUAAUUAGGAGAACCACACAACUGGUCUUUAUGGCACUCAUUCCCUCUUGAUGAAAGCAGCUAUGAAAGCAAUUUCUCUUGAAUUGAGCAGCAUCAAGUCAUACGCUGAGGAGUCUCUACGACAUAAUGAAUGACCAAGAAGGGAAAUACUUGUAGCAGUGAUGGGCAGGGGAACUUCUUCUUU